GUUUCUCAAACGGGGUGCGGUUUACCGCUGAGAUUAUACCCGUGAACCUGAUCCAGAUAAUGCUGGCGGAGGAAUUUGAGGCAUGGCGCUC
rfam:Aeromonas hydrophila subsp. hydrophila ATCC 7966, complete genome.